AACGAACGCUGGCGGCAUGCCUAACACAUGCAAGUCGAACGAGACCUUCGGGUCUAGUGGCGCACGGGUGCGUAACGCGUGGGAACCUGCCCUUAGGUUCGGAAUAACUCCCCGAAAGGGGUGCUAAUACCGGAUAAUGUCUUCGGACCAAAGAUUUAUCGCCUUUGGAUGGGCCCGCGUUGGAUUAGCUAGUUGGUAGGGUAAAAGCCUACCAAGGCGACGAUCCAUAGCUGGUCUGAGAGGAUGAUCAGCCACACUGGGGAUGAGACACGGCCCAGACUCCGACGGGAGGGAGGAGUGGGGAAUAUUGGACCAUGGGCGAAAGCCUGAUCCCGCAAUGCCGGGUGAGUGAUGAAGGCCUUAGGGUUGUAAAGCUCUUUUACCCGGGAUGAUAAUGACAGUACCGGGAGAAUAAGCACCGGCUAACUCCGUG
rnacentral:rRNA from 1 species